CUUUCUGUUGUCGUUGUUGCCUUGUUUUUUUUUUUCAAAUGGUUGUUUGCGUUGGGUGCACGUAAUCGGCGAUUUACUUCAUCGUGUGGACCUUCCGUGUCUGUGUGUCUGUGCGCGCGCCGACUUAUUAUCAUCUAUACGGCGCCUCUUGCUGUGUGGUCAGUGUCUCUCGUCCCACACAUACACACACACCUUCUCUCUCUAUACAUGCAUACGCACCAACAACAGUAGCCACAGGCCGGAUAAAAAAGGAAAGCGGCUAGCAAUCACGCAGCACCUCUGCUCACAGACACACACACAUACACACAUCCGCCCCCUCCCCUCCACCCCCCUCCCUUCCACCUUCUUCACAGUGUCACCCUCACUCCAGCCUAACACCUAUACGUAUAUAUAUAUAUAUAUAUAUUAAGGUAGUAAGCGUCAUCAGGAGAAGCCCAACAGUCGUCAAGGCAGCGUCCAUCUUCUGUCUGUCUUACUGUUCCUUACCGACUGGUAUUUUUUCUUAGAUGGUAGCGUCACGAGCAUCACUGUCGCCCUCCCUCCCUCCUUCCGCGUACACGUGUGUGUAUGUGUGUGUUUGCGUCCGCUGUUGAGUUGGCUAUAACUGCUGUUUCUUUUUCUGUCGCAUAAUCUUCACAGCCGAGUGGUGCUCAACACAUAGGCACACGCACGCGCACCGAGGCUCGGACCUCCAAGCAAAGAAAGAAGAGGGAGACACGCGAAUGCUGCAGCGUUCUCUGGCUCGGCUGUGUGCUGCUGCGCAGAGGCAGGGCAGUAAGGCGCUCGCGGCGGAGGGUCGCUCAUUCGCCUUAGUGAACCGCGAGGUCACCGCCAUCCAGGAGCACAUUCAGUCGCUUGUGACCAACACGAACAACGAGGUGCUGGACCAUGCCGGCAAGUAUGUGCUGGCUGCCGGCGGCAAACUGAUGCGUCCGGCGCUGGUGGUGCUCAUGGCGCAUGCGAUGCUGCCGCUCGACGUGAGUGCACGUCUCCUCGAGGAGCCGAUCGGGUCGCUGGACGAGGUGACGCCGGGCACGAUCCUGCCCUUCUUACGGCUGGCAGAGGUGACGGAGCUGAUCCAUACAGCGUCGUUGGUGCACGACGACGUCAUCGACAGCACCGGCACGCGUCGCGGACGCCCGGCACUGCACAAGGUCUACGACGCGAAGCGUGCGGUGCUCGCCGGUGACUACAUGCUGGCCCGCGCGUCCUUCUACAUUGCGACGCUGCAGGUGCCACGCAUCGUCAUUCUCAUGACGACAGCGCUGGAGGAGCUGACAGCUGGUGAGCUUAUUCAGAUGGACGGCUGCUUCGACAUCCCGCGCUACGAGCAGAAGAGUUUCUGCAAGACGGCGUCGCUCAUCGCCAACUCGCUCGCUUCCACGGCGGUGCUGGCGGACCCGGGCAAUGAGGCACUGGAGCAAACGGCCUUCGACUUUGGCAAGCACCUUGGCAUCGCCUUCCAGAUCCUCGACGACUGCCUUGACAUCACCGGCGACGAGAAGAUGCUGGGGAAGCCGAAGCUGGUGGACAUGAAGGAGGGCAUCGCGACGAUACCGGUGCUUCUCGUGGCGCGGCGCAACGCGAAGGUGGGUGAGAUGGUGUGCCGCCGCUUCGCUGAGCCGGGCGACGCGGAGUUCUGCCUGGAGGCAGUGGAAAAGGAAGGUGCGGUGGCCGAGGCCAUGCACCGCGCGGACGAGCACUGCCGGCUUGGGUUGGAGUCGCUGCACAAGUUGCACCACUCGCCCGCGCGCGACGCGCUCGAGAGCGCGCUGUCGAUGGUGAUGAACCGCAAGUCAUGAGCCGCGCCCGUGCGUGUACGUGUGCGCGUGUUUGUGCGUCUGUGACCUGCCUCGAGGUGUCUUUCUGCAUUACUGCGCUGCGGGCGCGUUGGCGCCUUCGCUGUUGUCGAUGCCGUUCGCCAUCUCGAGGCCGCUCGCAAAUGAGGAGAGAAACACCUCUUCGUCUCCCUCUAUCUAGCGAGGAUGGUGCAGAGAGGAAGGCAGCGACGGGCAGGCGGACAUGGACGCGCGAAGCAGAAAAUAGAACGGCGGCAGCUGCUGCACGACUGCCACAUUUGGACGUCUCCCUCUCUCGCGGGCUGCCAACGCCACUGAGCAGCCGUAGAGAGGGAUUGAUGCAGCAGACGCCUUCUGCCGGGAUAGGGCAGGGGGGACAGCAGCAAUCAGCCCCCCUUUGGUCAGCUUCACGGCCUUGGCAUGCCGUUGCAUGCGGCUUUAUGCAGGGCGCUCACCCUUCUUCAAUGCGCUCCCUUUUAUUGUCGCCGCGUCCUCCCGACGCCAUCCUCCAUCCCCCCACAGCGCUGUUACGCACAGCCAGGCAAACAGGCGCACUGCCGGCGCAGGCGGCAGCAGCUGCUGUUAAGUUGGUACACUUACUUACUGUGGAUUAUGUCGUGUCU
rnacentral:misc_RNA from 1 species